UACGAAGGGGGCUAGCGUUGCUCGGAAUGACUGGGCGUAAAGGGCGCGUAGGCGGAUGGCUUUGUCGGGCGUGAAAUUCCAGGGCUUAACCUUGGGGCUGCGUUCGAGACGGGUUUUCUUGAGUGGGGAAGAGGGUCGUGGAAUUCCCAGUGUAGUGGUGAAAUACGUAGAGAUUGGGAAGAACACCAGUGGCGAAGGCGGCUAUCUGGACGGUUUCUGACGCUAAGACGCGAAAGCGUGGGGAGCAAACAGG
rnacentral:rRNA from 1 species